CAGCCGCCGCGGGAAUACGAACCGUGCGGACGUUAUUCGGAAUUACUGGGCUUAAAGCGCGUGUAGGCGGCUCGGCACGUCGGACGUUGAAAGCCCCCGGCUCAACCGGGGAAGUGGCGCCGAUACGGCCGAGCUGGAGGGAGGUAGGGGGGUCUGGAACUUCCGGUGGAGCGGUGAAAUGCGUUGAGAUCGGAAGGAACGCCCGUGGCGAAAGCGAGGCCCUGGACCUUUUCUGACGCUGAGACGCGAAAGCCAGGGGAGCGAACGGGAUUAGAGACCCGAGUAGUCCCUGUCUCUUAUA
rnacentral:rRNA from 1 species